GGGGAAUAUUGCACAAUGGGCGCAAGCCUGAUGCAGCGAUGCCGCGUGAGGGAAGAAGGUUUUCGGAUUGUAAACCUCUGUCAUCAGGGACGAAAAAAGACGGUACCUGAGAAGGAAGCUCCGGCUAACUACGUGCCAGCAGCCGCGGUAAUACGUAGGGAGCAAGCGUUAUCCGGAAUUACUGGGUGUAAAGGGAGUGUAGGCGGGACUGUAAGUCAGAUGUGCAAUAUGCCGGCUCAACUGGCAGACUGCAUUUGAAACUGUUGAUCUUGAGUAUCGGAGAGGCAAUCGGAAUUCCUAGUGUAGCGGUGAAAUGCGUAGAUAUUGGGAGGAACAC
rnacentral:rRNA from 1 species